GGGGAGGGGAGGAGGACGGUCCCUUACAGGGAGGGGUCACACACGGGGGUCAGCACCAGGUGAGCAGGCUCCGACACGGGGCAGAACAUUGUUGUCGUCUGGCGGGGGGAAAUAUCAACGGAUUAGUCCAUGUUGGGGAAACAAGGCGUUGAGACAACACACACACACACAGACAUAGAACAGCUGUUCCACAACCAACUGCAUGUAGGUGAGCAGCGCUCCCACAUCAGCGACAAAACAAAACUCCUAAAGAGAACCAUCAUGUUAUGUUUGCGGCCAGAAUGAAUGAUUAACCACCGCGUGGAUACUCUGUUCUCUCGUCAACAAAAGGUGCCACACACAGACACACAAGUGUCACUGUCAACUGUCCCACUUCCCCACAAAGUCAAAGCCAGUGCAUGCGAUGGACAUGAACAGUAAUCCAUGACCAGUGAGUGCUCCACCUCAACCCUCCCUCCACCUCCCUCCCCCCUCCCCAUCCUCGAGCUCCCCUGAGAGGACCUCCUCCUACUCCAGCCCGCGCGCUGCUCGCUGCAUGACGGAGCAGAUGUUCCGCCCUAAGAUCCGUGACUCGAACCUUCUCCACUAUGGAUUUAAACCUGAAGGUUGGAUGCGGUAGCGGAGCAGAACGCAUUGAAGCUGUCAGCUCCAUGGAGGCUGGAGCUGGAGACGGAUAUUCUGGGAUACGCACAAUGAAUUGAAUUCUGUAGAUUAGAAUGUACAGUUUGUUUGAGGCGUUCUGGACAUGCACGCAGCCACCUGCUUACAGGCUGCUAACAUGAAGCGAUAUUACAUUAAUAUGGUAAUCGGUAUCUUGGUAGCUGGAGGCUGCGUUGUGAAUCUCAGCCAUCCAGACAUAAACAUGUUGUUACUAUCUUUUUCUAUUCACUGGUCACCUAAGCAUCGAUUACUAGCUACUUUGAUCUAGUCGGAACAUCCCGAAAUAAAUACUUACCAACUUUUUAGUGUCGUGGAGAUGUGUAAAGGAGAGAUGAUAGACAAAUCAGUGUUUCUGU
ensembl:lncRNA